ensembl:snRNA U6 U6 spliceosomal RNA
GUGCUCGCUUCGGCAGCACAUAUACUAAAAUUGGAACUAUACCCAGAAGAUUAGCAUGGCCCCUGCACAAGGUGACACGCAAAUUCGUGAAGCAUUCCAUAUUUUU